rfam:Dipodomys ordii contig_9317, whole genome shotgun sequence.
GGGAAGGUAGCUCAGUGGUAGAGUGCUUGUCUUAUACUCAUGAGGCCCUGGGUUCCAUUCCUCAGCACCA